CAGAAUCCUUUAGUAACUGACAGUGAUCAGCAAUGGCCCUUUCUGUGAAGAAACAUUAGAUUGACUAUUCUUCUGUAUGUGUAGCAGGUGAUGGGUUAGUAUAACACAUAGUUUUACCCUACACCUAGGAGCUAUGGGAUGGGAGGAUAACAUGUACCCAGAUUAAACACGUACUCUCGCAAUGUUUAUAACUUUCAUCUAAACAUCAUAAGCACAACAGGCUGAUGUAGUGGCAUAAACAGUUUACUUUUAAUCCAUGCUUAAAAGUUAUUCAUUGACUGAGCUACUCAGCUGACGCACUCCACCAAUAAAUUGCUUUAAAAUAUGAUGCAAAUGGUUUUGCUAAUGCAGGGAUCAGAUGGGGGGAGGGUUUGCCUUUUAUGGAUUAACAAUA